UUUAUCAUCAGAGCAAGACCUUGGAAAACAGCGCAUUUGUCCAUGGCCCUUCUUCAUCUCCUUCAUUUCUAAAAGCCACAGAAAACACCCGGCCAUCCCCUCCUCCUUCUAUCACUCAUCUCCCUCAUUUGAAAUUUCCAUAAAUACACAUGAAAUAGAAAGAGGAAAGAGGUUCGAAAUUAAAAGAAGAAAUAAAAAAAAAUCAGAUCUGAAAGCUUUAAAGCUCAAAAGCUUUUCCUGGGUUGGUGCUAUUCGAAGUCCGAAUCGCUGAUUUCUGCUGAAGCCGAGCUCCAAUUUGUAGAUCUCGUUUUGAUUUCAUUUGCAAUCUAAGCGGUUUUUUGUAGAUUGUUGGUUGUACACCUUUCAUGGAGGUUCUACUCCCUUUAAUCUAAAAGAUAGACGCACUCAGAGAUCCUCUUUGAAGCCCAUUAGGUUGUCAAAGCAACGUUACCUCAUUUUACGGGUAGAGAUGAGACGACAUCAGAGAAGAACAAAAUGGAGAAAGAAGCACAACAGAAAACCAAGAAAAUGACAUGAAUGGACCUAUGGAAAAAGGAACGGAACGAAAAAAAUUACUCAGUACUUUUAGGCAUAUUGUCAAACAUGCACCAAAUCUUCCUUUUCGUUACUACUAUUUUUGCUUUUAAUGGUAAAUUCAGUUUGUUUGUGUAGAAGAGCAUAAAUAGUUGUUCAAGAUGGAAUCGUAGCUAUCCAAUAUUUCAUCUUUGCGAUGUACUAAUCUAUUAGCUUCUUAUCUUUUGCUUUGUUUGGUGAUACAUGUGUAACAUAUAUAUUUUCUCUUCCUCCCCGUUUUUAUUCAAUAUAAAAGAGGAGUACAAAAUGCAGAAGAGUUGGCAUCCCAAACUCUCUGUUCCUAUAGAGGCGGAACAUGCUCCAACCAAUACAUAUGUAGGUCAUCAAAUUGUUUCACAAAAGGGAGAUAGGGAGUGAGAGAUCUUCCUUAUGCUACAAAAAAGAAAAUCAAAGAACAUCAAAAUUAUAUAGUCUAAGCAGGUGUCGAUCCAUGUUAACCUUCCCUUGGGAGAUGUUGAAAGAUUGUAUACAGGUGAUGGCGCUACAAUAUAAACCACAAUUAGAUAAAUUGUCUGCCACUUUGUUACUUUCUCAGUGUGAUUCACCUUUGUCUCAUCAAAUAGCUCUAUCUUGCUUCUUUUGUCUUUCACUUUAUUUUGUAAUCUCCAGGGUAUACUAGAUGUAUUUGUUAACCACUGGGAGCCGCUUUCUGUUUCCAGUUUCUAUUUAUCAAUAUCAUGAAUGAUCAAUGCACCAUUCAGUUCCAGCUUCCUGCAGUAUUGUUAGUCACUGUGCCCAGGGGCGUUGCAUAAGCGGGAUGCACAAGAUGUUAUUGAAAGAUAUGCCGAAGACCAAACGUUUCCAGAACUUACAAAAGUCAGUUCAAUCAGCAUCUUCUUCACCAUCCAUGGGGCAGACAACUCCUUGCAAUCAGCCGACUCCUUCUUUUCAGGCGACAUCGCUACCAACUCGUUCAUUCCAACCUACAAGACAGCAAACCGCUUCAUUUCAGGCCACAAUACUGCCAACUCCUUCAUUUCAGGCCACAGGACAGACAAUUCCUUGCAUUCAGCCGACUCCUUCUUUUUAGGCGAUAUUACUACUAACUCCUUCAUUUCAACGCACAAG